rnacentral:rRNA from 1 species
CCCUGCCAUUUGUACACACCGCCCGUCGCUCCUACCGAUUGGAUGUGCUGGUGAAGCCCUAGGACUGGCGGCCUUUGGUGGUUCUCCGCCGACGGUCGCCGGGAAUUCGGUUAAACCCUCCCAUCUAG